rnacentral:rRNA from 1 species
GGACGGGUGAGUAACGCGUGGGUAACCUACCUCAUACAGGGGGAUAACAGUUGGAAACGACCGCUAAUACCGCAUAACCCGCUAGUAUCGCAUGAUACGGACGGAAAAGAUUUAUCGGUAUGAGAUGGACCCGCGUCUGAUUAGCCAGUUGGCAGGGUAACGGCCUACCAAAGCAACGAUCAGUAGCCGGCCUGAGAGGGUGAACGGCCACAUUGGGACUGAGACACGGCCCAAACUCCUACGGGAGGCAGCAGUGGGGAAUAUUGCACAAUGGGGGAAACCCUGAUGCAGCGACGCCGCGUGAGUGAGGAAGUACUUCGGUAUGUAAAGCUCUAUCAGCAGGGAAGAAAAUGACGGUACCUGACUAAGAAGCCCCGGCUAACUACGUGCCAGCAGCCGCGGUAAUACGUAGGGGGCAAGCGUUAUCCGGAUUUACUGGGUGUAAAGGGAGCGUAGACGGCUAAUCAAGUCAGAAGUGAAAACCCAGGGCUCAACCUUGGGACUGCUUUUGAAACUGAGUAGCUAGAGUGCAGGAGAGGUAAGCGGAAUUCCUAGUGUAGCGGUGAGAUGCGUAGAUAUUAGGAGGAACACCAGUGGCGAAGGCGGCUUACUGGACUGUA